rnacentral:rRNA from 1 species
GUUUCAGCCGCCGCGGUAAUACGUAGGGUGCGAGCGUUAAUCGGAAUUACUGGGCGUAAAGCGUGCGCAGGCGGUUCGCAAAGUCUGAUGUGAAAGCCCCGGGCUCAACCUGGGAAUUGCAUUGGAAACUGGCGGGCUUGAGUGUGGCAGAGGGGGGUGGAAUUCCACGUGUAGCAGUGAAAUGCGUAGAGAUGUGGAGGAACACCGAUGGCGAAGGCAGCCCCCUGGGCUAACACUGACGCUCAGGCACGAAAGCGUGGGGAGCAAACAGGAUUAGAUACCCGUGUAGUCC